UAUUGUCUGAUUAAUAUCGAAGGGGUACAUGUGUUUAUAAAGGAGGACGACCUCCACUAAACCCUAGAUAACUUGGACUCUAACUUGGACUCUAAUAUAACUUGGACUCUAAUAUAACUUGGACUCUAAUAUAACUUGGACUUCUAAGAUAGGUAAGGUAACUUGGGCUAAGCCCGUAAUUAACCCUGCCCAUUGGGCCUCCUCCGUUGGUACAUUGUACCGGUCAU
rnacentral:lncRNA from 1 species